UGAGGUCGCUGUGUAUCCUGCCGGCCUGCCGGUGCCGUAGCGGGGAAUGGAGCUGACCGAG
rfam:Trypanosoma congolense IL3000, WGS project CAEQ01000000 data, contig: contig_2813